rnacentral:rRNA from 1 species
GCAGUCGGACGGGAUCCAUCGGUAGCUUGCUAUCCAUGGUGAGAGUGGCGCACGGGUGCGUAACGCGUGAGCAACCUGCCUCCAUCAGGGGGAUAGCCUCUCGAAAGAGAGAUUAACACCGCAUAACAUAAUGUUCCGGCAUCGGAGGAUUAUUAAAUAUUUAUAGGAUGGAGAUGGGCUCGCGUGACAUUAGCUAGUUGGUGGGGUAACGGCCCACCAAGGCGACGAUGUCUAGGGGCUCUGAGAGGAGAAUCCCCCACACUGGUACUGAGACACGGACCAGACUCCUACGGGAGGCAGCAGUAAGGAAUAUUGGUCAAUGGGCGGAAGCCUGAACCAGCCAUGCCGCGUGCAGGAUGACUGCCCUAUGGGUUGUAAACUGCUUUUGUCCGGGAAUAAACCUCCUUACGAGUAGGGAGCUGAAUGUACCGGAAGAAUAAGGAUCGGCUAACUCCGUGCCAGCAGCCGCGGUAAUACGGAGGAUCCGAGCGUUAUCCGGAUUUAUUGGGUUUAAAGGGUGCGUAGGCGGCCCGUUAAGUCAGGGGUGAAAUACGGUGGCUCAACCAUCGCAGUGCCUUUGAUACUGACGGGCUUGAAUCCAUAUGAAGUGGGCGGAAUAAGACAAGUAGCGGUGAAAUGCAUAGAUAUGUCUUAGAACUCCGAUUGCGAAGGCAGCUCAC